rnacentral:rRNA from 1 species
UAGCGGCGGACGGGUGAGUAACACGUAGGCAACCUGCCCACAAGACAGGGAUAACUACCGGAAACGGUAGCUAAUACCCGAUACAUCCUUUUCCUGCAUGGGAGAAGGAGGAAAGGCGGAGCAAUCUGUCACUUGUGGAUGGGCCUGCGGCGCAUUAGCUAGUUGGUGGGGUAAAGGCCUACCAAGGCGACGAUGCGUAGCCGACCUGAGAGGGUGAUCGGCCACACUGGGACUGAGACACGGCCCAGACUCCUACGGGAGGCAGCAGUAGGGAAUCUUCCGCAAUGGGCGAAAGCCUGACGGAGCAACGCCGCGUGAGUGAUGAAGGUUUUCGGAUCGUAAAGCUCUGUUGCCAGGGAAGAACGUCUUGUAGAGUAACUGCUACAAGAGUGACGGUACCUGAGAAGAAAGCCCCGGCUAACUACGUGCCAGCAGCCGCGGUAAUACGUAGGGGGCAAGCGUUGUCCGGAAUUAUUGGGCGUAAAGCGCGCGCAGGCGGCUCUUUAAGUCUGGUGUUUAAUCCCGAGGCUCAACUUCGGGUCGCACUGGAAACUGG